rnacentral:misc_RNA from 1 species
AUAACUUAGGCUUUACAAUGGGCACAGAGUUCCAAGAUGAUAGCAAAAAAGUUUUCGGGUCUGAUUCAGGUCGGAGUUCGACUCCUUCACCUCUAAUUCAACAACUUCAGCAACAACAGUCUGUUGAAAAUUUCACACCUAGCAAGGUUUCGAAUUUUGGUGUUGGUUCUACCACUACGACGCCAUUAGCGUCCGUUUCUUCCCCAAAUCCUCAGCCAAUGGAGAUGAAUUUGAAUGUGAAUGUGAGUAGACGAGCAAGGCUAACUAUUGUUG